rnacentral:rRNA from 1 species
UACGAAGGGGGCGAGCGUUGUUCGGAAUUACUGGGCGUAAAGGGCGCGCAGGCGGCCCUUGAAGUCAGGCGUGAAAGCCCCGGGCUCAACCUGGGAGGUGCGCUUGAUACUCGAGGGCUUGAGUGCGGGAGAGGAGAGUGGAAUUCCCAGUGUAGAGGUGAAAUUCGUAGAUAUUGGGAAGAACACCGGUGGAGAAGGCGGCUAUCUGGACCGUAACUGACGCUGAGGAGCGAAAGCGUGGGGAGCGAACAGG